rnacentral:rRNA from 1 species
GUUGACCUCGGAUCAGGUAGGGAUACCCGCUGAACUUAAGG